UUGCACAGAGAACACCCCAGGAUGCUAUCGUAGCUCCCCUGGUCUCUUGUUUCUGUGCCACAGUAAAUCUGAUCUGUACCUCUGCAUUAGGAGAGACCCCUCCUCACCAAAUGUAUUCAACGGAUCAGAAUAACA